GCACCUUUUUGCAGCUCAUUAGAAGGCUCGAGGAACACAGAGAUGAAAAGAUAUGAUCUCUGCCUUAAAGACGCUGGCAAUCCAACGGGCAUACGAAUGAACCAUCAGUAGCUCGGAAAACAGCCGCCCACUCCCACCGCAUUCUAUUUGCCGGGAGAAAUCACAUGCUCAAAUUUGGAAGAAGCCUCCAGUGGUUUGAUUUCGUAAGUGAAGUCAUCCACCUGCAGCAUGCCACGCAGACCUCCAUAGCAGGUGUCCAGUGUGCCCAUGGACCCAGGAACCCCUUCCAGGUCCUUUCAGGAGUUAAUGUCCAAACCUGAGAUGAACGCUAGGAGGGAAGCUGGCCCGCUGCAGAAGCUGCUGCAUAAUCCUCCAGAUACAGGGAAGGCACCAGCGGUUGUGUCUCCUCAGUGGGGCUGGUUGAGCCGGCCCUGGAGGCAUGCCAGCUAAGAAAAAAGGAAUCGACCACGGUGAUGGGAAGACUGGACCUCUCCCUUUCAGGGUUGUAGCUGAACUUCAAUCGGUGGUCCUAGUAAAAUAUAUAAAUCUUCAUUCAUUCUAA